GGAGGGGCCGGCGCGGCGGGGACCGCGGGCCGGGCAGGUCAGCGCGCUCGGCGCGGUGGAGAGGCGUGAGGGGCUGCGCGGCCGGCUCGCAGCGCGGGAUCCCCACGGAGAAGAAUGGGUCCAGAAUGGUGCGAGUGCUUUGGGCAUCCACUCUUGCCUGGAGAGAGAAACACACAUUUCCAGGAGGAGCAUCGACCCAGGCAAGGGCCCACCUGGGAUGGGGCUGGCCUCAAGAUAAAUAACAUGGAUGAUGCUGAAAGUGCGGCAGAAGGCAGGCGAAGUUGUUGACCAGCACCUUUUGCUCACUUGGCUGGACAAACCCGUCUCAAUUGUGCUGCCGUCCAACAAGUGGAGGGAAUCAAUCCACCGCGUCCACACCCCAGCUCUGAGUGAAUGGAAAUGUAUCAUCAAGGUGAAGGGACAGGGUGAGGCUCCUAUACCCUAUGUGCCACGCACAGAACAGCGUGUAUAUUUCCAAAGAAUUGAAAGCAAAGUAUCAAGGAGAUAUGUGUACACAAGAGCCCAUAGCUGUAUUAGUCACAAUGGCCAAAAUAUGGAAGCAACACAAAUGUCCAUCAACAGAAGAACAAAUAAAUAG
rnacentral:lncRNA from 1 species